AACGAACGCUGGCGGCAUGCCUAACACAUGCAAGUCGAACGAGACCUUCGGGUCUAGUGGCGCACGGGUGCGUAACGCGUGGGAACCUUCCCUUAUGUUCGGAAUAACUCCCCGAAAGGGGUGCUAAUACCGGAUAAUGUCUUCUGGCCAAAGAUUUAUCGCCUUUGGUUGGGACCGCGUUGGAUUCGCUAGUUGGUAGGGUAAAAGCCUACCAAGGCGACGAUCGAUAGCUGGUAUGAGAGGAUGAUCAGACACACUGGGACUGAGACACGGCCCAGACUGCUACGGGAGGGAGCAGUGGGGAAUAUAGGAAAAUGGGCGAAAGGAUGAUCCAGCAAUGCCGCGUGAGUGAUGAAGGCCUUAGGGUAGUAAAGCUCUUUUACACGGGAUGAUAAUGACAGUACCGGGAGAAUAAGCUACGGCUAACUCCGUG
rnacentral:rRNA from 1 species